CCCCAGGUCAGGCGGGGCUACCCGCUGAGUUUAAGCAUAUCAAUAAGC
rnacentral:rRNA from 20 species